rnacentral:rRNA from 1 species
AGAGUUUGAUCCUGGCUCAGAACGUACGCUGGCGGCACGCCUAACACAUGCAAGUCGAACGCAGUAGCAAUACUGAGUGGCAAACGGGUGAGUAUAAUGUGGGAAUCUGCCUUUUGGUUUGGAAUAACACGGGGAAACUUGUGCUAAUACCGAAUAAGCCCUUACGGGGAAAGUUUUAAUGCCGAAAGAUGAGCCCGCACUUGAUUAGCUAGUUGGUAAGGUAAAAGCUUACCAAGGCAACGAUCAAUAGCUGUUCUUAGAGGAAGACCAGCCACAUUGGGACUGAGACACGGCCCAGAUUCCUACGGGAGGCAGCAGUGGGGAAUCUUGCACAAUGGGGGAAACCCUGAUGCAGCGAUGCCGCGUGAGUGAAGAAGGCCUUUGGGUUGUAAAGCUCUUUCGUCGGGGAAGAAAAUGACUGUACCCGAAUAAGAAGGUCCGGCUAACUUCGUGCCAGCAGCCGCGGUAAUACGAAGGGACCUAGCGUAGUUCGGAAUUACUGGGCUUAAAGAGUUCGUAGGUGGUUAAAAAAGUUGGUGGUGAAAUCCCAGAGCUUAACUCUGGAACUGCCAUCAAAACUUUUUAGCUAGAGUAUGAUAG